AGGGAUCAUUACUGAGUUUACGCUCUACAACCCUUUGUGAACAUACCUAUAACUGUUGCUUCGGCGGGUAGGGUCUCCGUGACCCUCCCGGCCUCCCGCCCCCGGGCGGGUCGGCGCCCGCCGGAGGAUAACCAAACUCUGAUUUAACGACGUUUCUUCUGAGUGGUACAAGCAAAUAAUCAAAACUUUUAACAACGGAUCUCUUGGUUCUGGCAUCGAUGAAGAACGCAGCGAAAUGCGAUAAGUAAUGUGAAUUGCAGAAUUCAGUGAAUCAUCGAAUCUUUGAACGCACAUUGCGCCCGCCAGCAUUCUGGCGGGCAUGCCUGUUCGAGCGUCAUUUCAACCCUCAAGCUCUGCUUGGUGUUGGGGCCCUACAGCUGAUGUAGGCCCUCAAAGGUAGUGGCGGACCCUCCCGGAGCCUCCUUUGCGUAGUAACUUUACGUCUCGCACUGGGAUCCGGAGGGACUCUUGCCGUAAAACCCCCCAAUUUUCCAAAGGUUGACCUCGGAUCAGGUAGGAAUACCCGCUGAACUUAAGCAUAUCAAUA
rnacentral:rRNA from 1 species